AACGAACGCUGGCGGCAUGCCUAACACAUGCAAGUCGAACGAAACCUUCUGGUUUAGUGGCUCAUCGGUUCGUAACCCGUUGGAUCCUGCCCUUAGGUUCUGCAUCUCUCCCUGAAAUGGGUGCUAAUACCUGAUACUGUUUCCGGACCAACGAUUUAUCGCCUUUGGAUGUGCCUGCGUUGGAUUAGCUAGUCGGUAUGGUAAAAGCCUAUCAAGGCGACGUUCCAUAGCUGUUCUGAGAGGAUGAACAGCCACAAUGGAGCUGAGACACGGCCCAGAAUGGGACGGGAGGGAGCAGAGGGGAAUAUUGGACAAGGGGCGAAAGACUGAUGAAGCAAUGCCGGGUAAGUGAUGAAGGGCGUAGGGUUGUAAAGCUAGUUUAGACGGGAUGAUAAUGACAGUACCGGGAGAAGAAGCACCGGCUAACUACGUG
rnacentral:rRNA from 1 species